GGAGGUGUGGUGUAAUGGAUAGCAUAGUGGCCUACGAAGCCUUAGAUCUCGGUUCGACUCCGGGCAUCUUCGCCA
rnacentral:tRNA from 2 species